rnacentral:rRNA from 1 species
GACGAACGCUGGCGGCGUGCUUAACACAUGCAAGUCGAACGGUAAGGCUCCAGCUUGCUGGGGUACACGAGUGGCGAACGGGUGAGUAACACGUGGGUGACCUGCCCUGCACUUCGGGAUAAGCCUGGGAAACUGGGUCUAAUACCGGAUAGGACCAUGGUGUGGAUACUGUGGUGGAAAGUUUUUUCGGUGUGGGAUGGGCCCGCGGCCUAUCAGCUUGUUGGUGGGGUAAUGGCCUACCAAGGCGGCGACGGGUAGCCGGCCUGAGAGGGUGGACGGCCACAUUGGUACUGAGACACGGCCCAGACUCCUACGGGAGGCAGCAGUGGGGAAUAUUGCACAAUGGGCGGAAGCCUGAUGCAGCGACGCCGCGUGGGGGAUGACGGCCUUCGGGUUGUAAACUCCUUUCACCAUCGACGAAGGGUUUCUGACGGUAGAUGGAGAAGAAGCACCGGCUAACUACGUG